ACCUGAAAAAGGCAAACCAUUCGAAAGGAUGGGACGCAAAGCCACUGGCCUAAAUCUCAAAUGUUGAGAUAUGGUAGCGGGUUGCCAGG
rnacentral:ncRNA from 1 species